UGGGGAAUUUUGGACAAUGGGCGAAAGCCUGAUCCAGCAAUGCCGCGUGUGUGAAGAAGGCCUUCGGGUUGUAAAGCACUUUUGUCCGGAAAGAAAUCCUUGGCUCUAAUACAGUCGGGGGAUGACGGUACCGGAAGAAUAAGCACCGGCUAACUACGUGCCAGCAGCCGCGGUAAUACGUAGGGUGCAAGCGUUAAUCGGAAUUACUGGGCGUAAAGCGUGCGCAGGCGGUUUGCUAAGACCGAUGUGAAAUCCCCGGGCUCAACCUGGGAACUGCAUUGGUGACUGGCAGGCUAGAGUAUGGCAGAGGGGGGUAGAAUUCCACGUGUAGCAGUGAAAUGCGUAGAGAUGUGGAGGAAUACCGAUGGCGAAGGCAGCCCCCUGGGCCAAUACUGACGCUCAUGCACGAAAAGCGUGGGGGAGCAAAACAGGAUUAGAUACCCUGGUAGUCCACGCCCUAAACGAUGUCAACUAGUUGUUGGGGAUUCAUUUUCCUUAGUAACGUAGCUAACGCGUGAAGUUGACCGCCUGGGGAGUACGGUCGCAAGAUUAAAACUUAAAUGAAUUGACGGGGUCAUAGCUGUUUCCU
rnacentral:rRNA from 1 species